AUGCUGUUCCUGUCUUCUCAAUAUUGUUGGUGUCAAACACUGACUGAGUCUGAGGCUGUAGUCAUGAAACCUGGAGAAUCCCAUAAGCUGACAUAUGAUAGCCAGGAAAUAUAUUACUCUCAGUUUGUACAAGGACGGUUCACCAUCUCCAGAGACAACAGUAGGAAGCAGGUGUAUCUGCAGAUGAGCAGCUUGAAGAAUGAAGACUCUGCUGUGUACUAUUGUGCCCGGGAGACACAGUGA